AUAUAAUGAGUUCAAAACGUGUAAAAUAUGGUAAUUGGUCACAAAAAUCAUUAAAACUGGCAGUAAAUGCAGUUUUAGUUAAUGGUUGCUCGAAAUAUUCUGCUGCUAAACAAUAUAAAAUACCAAGACAAACACUACAUGACUAUAUAAAACGAGCACCUGUUGAUAAUUUUGUUAAAAAGCUACGUGCAGGACACCCAACAACACUUUCAGCUUUUCAAGAAAAAGAGCUCAUAGAAGUUCUUCUGACCAUGUCUCAGAGAUUGUUUGGUUUGUCUCCAAAAGAUGUAAAACAAAUGGUAUUUCAGUUUUGUGAAGAAAAUAGAAUUAAUCACAAAUUUAAUUGUGAAACUAAGUCAGCAGGAAAAGAAUGGUUUAGGGGUUUUUUGAAACGCCAUAAUGAACUCUCUGUCAGAGUUGCUGAGUCAACAUCAUUGCAUCGAGCCACUGGUUUUAAUAGAAUAAAAGUUAAUCGUUUUUACGAUGAACUAGAAAAAAUAAUGUUUAAUGCUAAUGGGAUGCAGAUUAUUCCACCAUCAAACUUAUUCAACGUAGAUGAAUCUGGAUUGUCUAUUUGCCAUAAACCAGGAAAAAUUGUUGCUCUUAAGGGAAAACACAGUGUUGGUGGCUUAACUAGCUCCGAAAGAGGUAAAACAAUCACAAUAGUUUGUUGCCAAUCAGCAAGCGGGUUUUUUGUCCCUCCGAUGUUGAUCUAUCCACGUAUUCGAGUGAAACCUGAAUUUUUAGAUUUUUUGAAUUUUUAAACCCCAAUAGGUUCUAUUUCUGGUGGCAGCAAAAAUGGCUGGAUAACAACUGAGUUGUUUGAAAUAUGGUUUGAUCAUUUUUUACAAGCAGUCCAGCCUCAGUCAAGAAACCAACCAGUUCUUCUAAUUUUAGAUGGACAUUCAAGUCAUAAAAAAAAUCUUAGUGUUAUUAAAAAAGCGCGCCACUCAAAUGUUAUUAUUUUAUCACUUCCAUCCCACUGCACCCACAAACUGCAACCACUUGAUGUUUCGUUUUUUAAAAACCACAAAAUAUUCUAUGAUCAGGAGGUUAGUACUUGGCUUCGUCACCAUCCUGGUCGUCCCGUAACUGAUCUAGAGGUUGGUGAAUUAUUUGGAAAAGCCUAUGGGAAAGCUGCAACUGUUCAAAAUUGUCAGUUAGGGUUCAAAAAAUGUGGAAUAUAUCCAUUUGAUAGAAAUGUGUUUACUGAAGAAGACUUUGCUGCAGCCAAGGCUACUGAUCACUCGUAUGUUGUAUCAAAAAUUUCAAAACCAAAUAAUACCUCUGAAAUGCACCCUACUCUCAACAAUGGGUUAGACUCUGCUAAAGAAUUAGAUAAUAUUGAUUUUGUUACAGAUUGUGUUAUUGACACUCAAAAAGAAUCUAUUUCACCAAAUUCAUUAUUUACACUUCGGAAGUCAUCAGAAUUAGCCACCUCACACGAUGAAACCUCACAACCUUAUGGUGUUACAUUUAGAUCACUAGCUGGACUUGACAUUAAAAAUGCAAAGCGAACAGGUAUAAAAAGGAGGGUAAAUCAUGCUGAAAAAAUUACUGGAUCACCAUAUAAAUCUCAGCUAGAGGAAUCUUUAAACUUGAAAUAUAAGAACAGACAGCCACGUAAAAAGUGCAUUAAAAAAAGUAUAUCUACUCAUCAAAAGACGUGUUUGAAAAACCUUGAUGCUAAAGGUGCGAUUAAUAAACAACUUUGUGCAAAGUGUCAAUACAGUUAUGGUGAUCCUGUCCUUAUUUAAAAGAUAAUUGGGAUAAAUGCCUUAAAUGCUGUAGAUGGUGGCAUAAAACAUGUGCUGCUAUAUGUGGUGUUUAUACUAAAAAAGUAUUUACUUGUGAUGACUGUAUAAAGCGCUGAUUUUUAAAAAAAAAGUUAUGUCAUAUAUUGA
rnacentral:misc_RNA from 1 species